UACGUAGGCAGCAAGCGUUGUUCGGAAUUACUGGGCGUAAAGAGUGUGUAGGCGGUGCUCCAAGUCUGGUGUGAAAUCUCCCGGCUUAACUGGGAGGGUGCAUUAGAAACUGGAAUGCUAGAGGAUGGGAGAGGUAAGCGGAAUUCCUGGUGUAGCGGUGAAAUGCGCAGAUAUCAGGAGGAACACCGAUGGCGAAGGCAGGUCUCUGGGCCACUACUGACGCUGAGAAGCGAAAGCAUGGGGAGCGAACAGG
rnacentral:rRNA from 1 species